AGCUGGCAGCAGAAGGUUAUAGCAAGAAAGUCUGUAGUCACAUACUUGGUAUAAGCAAAAACCCUGGAGCUGGCCCUGAGGAUGGGGUGUGGACAGUGGGGAGCUAAUUCCCCAGAUGAGCCAUGAGGAGGCAUUGCUGAAUGAGGUCCCAUGGCCAUUGUGGAUAAAGAGACUGGACAAUCCUGCCUAGUCCCCCAGCAUAAUUUGAACAGGAGAGACCACCCCAGUGACUUAUGCAGCUGCUUUGGGACUGGUAUAAAGAUCAGUUAUCCAUUUAAGCACCAACAUCCAUAUGGGACAGGACUUUCAACAAAGUUCCACUCCACUCUUUCAGAAGCUUUCUCUGCAUCAAGUGAUUCCAAAAGAAAUGGACUCUCCUCCAGCACUAUGAAUGACUCAAGAACUCUACAAAUAUGACUAUCCUUAACUAAUCUGGUUGGAUCUGGGUUUAUAUAAACUGAGUGCAUGGACUACAGUUGGUUAGCUGGUGUUCUUGCUAAAAACUUUAUCAUGAUUAUGUAGUGACAUGGGCCAGUAAGAACAGCCCAAGAUAGUCUCUUCCAGCUUUAGUGAGAACAAAAGUUCAUUUUUUUUCCCAUAGGGGAGGGUCUCCCAUGAACUAACAGAAUAGCAUAUGAUUAGAGGUAUCCCUCAAGAGCCCUACUGAUAUCCUUAAAUAUCUCAAAGUUCAGCUGGAAAGUCAUCACUCUUCAUACUUGUUACUGUCUCAAAGAUUUCUUCUUCUAUUAUAGUUGAUUUCAUGUAUCUUUAGUGAGCCUGAUAUUUUUGAAUAGCAUCUGAUCUUGGAGUAUCUGAAGUACAGAGACUUCUAUCAUAAGUACUGGUAGUUACACACAGUAGUGCGCUAUGCUAUCUUGCUGACUCUUUCUUUUAAAUUUUAUUUAAAUUGGUGGAAGAUGCUGCUUUUGAAUCCCUUUGAGCCAGUAACUUAUUUCCUUCAUACGUCGGCUUUGUAUACUUAAUGGCUUUUUUCAGUUGUAAUCUGUCAAACAUUCCAUUUUCCCCCUAAUAUUGGUGGUUAUACCCUCUUUAUGAAUCUAAACUUAUUUCCUUUUCUAGUUUUAAUGUGAGCUCUUUAUAUUCUUUAAGUUCUGCUUAUUAAUUGACUCCUAAAUACUGCUUUAGGUCUUCUAUCAGAAGCAGCUACCUUUAUUUUGUUUAAGUAUUUAACAAUUCCUUGUUAGCCUGAGUUAUAGCAAGUUAUGUCUACACUGCACAACUUGCCAUGCCACGGCUUUGCUGCUACAGCCAUGCUGUUGUAAGGUACGCUGUAUGGCCACUCUUUCCCGGUGACACAAUGAAACCAACUCCAACAAGGGGCAGUAACUUUAUCACUGGGAUUGCAGAUCACAUCAGCACUUUGUUAAAACUUGUCAUUCAAGGGGUAUCUUUUCAUACACCUGAGCGGCAGACAUUUUAGCAACAAAAGUGCCAGUGUAGACCUAGCCCGAUGUUUUUUUUUCCUAGGAUAAAGGUCACUUUUUUUGAAAGAAUUCUUUAGGACCCAUCUCAGUACCAAAUAUUACUUCCAAUGGCGCACGAUGUGACUAUGUAAUGGGGCCAACUUCUGUAGAUCUUGCCUACUUCAUUAAGGCUUUAAAAACUAACACUGAAUAUCUUGUAACAUAUAAAUGAGUGUGAAUACACUGUAUACACUUGUUCCCCUGGAUGCAAUUUUCUCUAGCAAUCUAAAGACUGAAUUGCUGGUAUAGAAAGGUUAAUGCUGCACCUGUUUCCUUAUCAAUCUUGUCUAUCAGAUCUUUCUCUGGGGUGGGAGGGAGGCACGUACAAUCAGUUGCCUUCAAGUAUAAAUUUUUCCCUUCCCCAUGAUGUUGCAAUAUUUAAAAAAAAUCUUUAAGUGUUUUGCUUUUGGGAGCAUACACUAACUGUUCCCUUUUAAACUAUCUUUAUCCUUAAAUUGAUCUUUAAUGUGAAAAGGUACAUGUUUAGCAAAUGUAUGCCAACUCCUCUUUGGCUGAAGCAAAUUGACUGCUGGAACCAAUUCCAAUUCAUGCCCACAAUUUGCCCUUUUUGAUUGUAAAAUAGGAAUGGGUUAUCUAGUUCUGCCAGUUCUUUUAAUGACACUUAACCCCUUGAGGUUCAAAAAUCUUACUUUACAGGGAAGAGCUAUUGAUAACUAUUUACUUUAGCCUAUGGAAAGACUUGAACGUAAUGUGGUUCUUUGGCUGUUUGGUAUGAACCCUUGUGUGGCAAAUGCCUCACUUCUCAUUAUGUUGUAUCCAUAACUUGUGUGCCUAAAUAUGGCCUGAUAUUGUUUGUAAA